CAGGGAGUAGUUUAAGUAGAAUUCUGGCUUUGGGUGCCGAGGGUAGGACGGGAAGUCCUCUCCUUGA
rnacentral:tRNA from 1 species